rnacentral:rRNA from 1 species
AGCAGCCGCGGUAAUUCCAGCUCCAAUAGCGUAUAUUAAAGUUGUUGCAGUUAAAAAGCUCGUAGUUGAAUUUCGGGGUUCUACCGUUGGUCGGGCAAUAGUCUGUACUGGCGUGUAGAAUUUCUACCUUCUGGGGAACCAUCAUGUUAUUUAUUUAGCGUGGUGGGAAACCAGGACCUUUACCUUGAAAAAAUUAGAGUGUUCAAAGCAGGCUUACGUCUGAAUACAUUAGCAUGGAAUAAUAAAAUAGGACGGUGGUCCUGUUUUGUUGGUUUCUGAAUCACCGUAAUGAUUAAUAGGGAUAGUUGGGGGCAUUAGUAUUCAAUUGUCAGAGGUGAAAUUCUUGGAUUUAUUGAAGACUAACUUCUGCGGAAGCAUUUGCCAAGGAUGUUUUCAUUAAUCAAGAACGAAAGUUAGGGGAUCGAAGACGAUCAGAUACCGUCGUAGUCU